rnacentral:rRNA from 1 species
AUUGAACGCUGGCGGCAGGCUUAACACAUGCAAGUCGAGCGAGCGGCGGACGGGUGAGUAAUGCAUGGGAAUCUGCUCGAUGGAGGGGGAUAACUACUGGAAACUGUAGCUAAUACCGCAUACUAUCGGAUGAACCCAUAUCGGGUUAGCUAGUUGGUGAGGUAAAGGCUCACCAAGGCGACGAUCCCUAGCUGGUCUGAGAGGAUGAUCAGCCACACUGGAACUGAGACACGGCCCAGACUCCUACGGGAGGCAGCAGUGGGGAAUAUUGAACAAUGGGCGCAAGCCUGAUGCAGCCAUGCCGCGUGUGUGAAGAAGGCCCUAGGGUUGUAAAGUCCUUUCGGUGGGGAAGCGUUACCGACAGAAGAAGCACCGGCUAACUCCGUGCCAGCCGCCGCGGUAAUAC